rnacentral:rRNA from 1 species
CACGGGGGGAGCAAGCGUUGUUCGGAAUCACUGGGCGUAAAGGGCGUGUAGGCGGUCAAGUAAGUAGAUUGUGAAAGCCCCCGGCUUACCCGGGGAUCUGCAUCCCAAACUGCUUGGCUUGAGUACGGGAGAGGAUAGGGGAAUUCCUGGUGUAGCGGUGAAAUGCGUAGAUAUCUGGAGGAACACCGGUGGCGAAGGCGGCAUCCUGGACCGGCAUUGACGCUGAGGCGCGAAAGCCAGGGGAGCAAACGGG